GGCUUCGUAGCUCAGCUGGUAGAGCGCUCACCGUGUUUGGCAUGUUGUUUCUUUCGCUGGUUCGAAUCCAGCCGAAGCCC